UGUCGACAUUAUAAUUGUGCAGGCACUUUGGUGACUCUAGAGAACCUCGGCCCAAUCGCACGUCCACGUGAUGGCGACUUUGCAUUCGGAUGUCUGCAGUAUCAACUUUCGAUGCCACUUUCUGCGCCUACCAUUGUGACCACGGGUAACGGGGAAUCAGGGUUCAAUUCUGGAGAGGGAGCUUGAGAAACGGCUACCACAUCCAAAGAAGGCAGCAGGCGCGCAAAUUACCCACUCCCGAAGCUGGGAGGUAGUGACGACA